UACGAAGGGUGCAAGCGUUACUCGGAAUUACUGGGCGUAAAGCGUGCGUAGGUGGUUUGUUAAGUCUGUUGUGAAAGCCCCGGGCUCAACCUGGGAAUGGCAAUGGAUACUGGCAAGCUAGAGUGCGGUAGAGGGUAGUGGAAUUCCCGGUGUAGCGGUGAAAUGCGUAGAGAUCGGGAGGAACACCAGUGGCGAAGGCGGUUGCCUGGAGCUUUGCUGACGCUGAGGCGCGAAAGCGUGGGGAGCGAUCCGG
rnacentral:rRNA from 1 species